GACGACGCUGGCGGCGUGCCUAAUACAUGCAAGUAGGACGAGUUGCGAACGGGUGAGUAACGCGUGGUAACCUACAUAUUAGAGGGGGAUAACUAAUGGAAACGAUAGCUAAUACCGCAUACCAUCGGAUGUGCCCAGAUGGGAUUAGCUAGUAGGUGGGGUAACGGCUCACCUGGGCGACGAUCCCUAGCUGGUCUGAGAGGAUGACCAGCCCCACUGGAACUGAGACACGGUCCAGACUCCUACGGGAGGCAGCCGUGGGGAAUAUUGCACAAUGGGCACCAGCCUGAUGCAGCCAUGCCGCGUGUAUGAAGAGGGCCUUCGGAUUGUAAAGUACUUUCAGCGAGGAGGCGUUACUCGCAGAGGAAGCACCGGCCAACUCCGUGCCAGCAGCCGCAGUAAUAC
rnacentral:rRNA from 1 species